AUGACUGACACCAGCACGGCCGAGGAAUCAUCAAAAUACGACGAGGAGGACCGGAUCAGCGCCCUGCCGGACGUCAUCCUGCACCACGUCCUUGGCUUCCUGUGGGCCGAUGAGGCGGUGCACACCUGCCUGCUCGCCCGGCGCUGGCGCUACCUUUGGAAAUCCAUGCGUUGUAUCCUCGUCUAUGACAAGGGAUGGUGGAGGAAGAGCACUCAUGUUUUUCUUAACAAGUUCAUGGACUGUGUGCUGCUCCUCCGAGACCCCGGUUCGACUCUAGAUGAGGUUCACAUCGAGUAUGAUCAUUUGGAGGAUGAUCAUACAUGGAUAGACCUUUGGAUUGACAUCUGGAUCCGUCAUGCUUUGUCAUGCCAAGCUCAAGUGCUCACUGUGAGGCUCUCGUAUGAGGUGGAUUUCUGUUUGGAUGGUCCUCCGGUGGUCUCCCGACAUUUGAGAAGAUUGGAGCUUUCUGACGUGACGUUGAAAGGCAACUUCAUGAAUUUUUCAAGUUGUUCAUCGUUGGAAGAGCUAUAUAUAGAAGACUGCUACUUAGAGACUGGCAGGAUCUUGUCCCAGUCUUUAAAGCAUCUAACCAUCAAGGGGUGUUUUUCCAGAAAUGAUGGCCGGAUUCGUGUUACUGUUCCAAAUCUAGUUUCGCUGCAACUCCUAUCAUUUCGAGGUAGGACCCCAUUGUUCGAAAGCAUGCCAUCAUUAGAAACCGCAGUUGUCGAGCCGAACAACUACUUGGAGGAUUACUGUUGUAAAGGUGUUGCUUUGGAGUGUUGUGGUAUUUGUGCAGAUUGCUGUGGUAAUGAUGAUCACAAUGGUAAUUGUGUACUUCUUGGAGGUCUGUCUCAUGCUAAAAGCCUGGAGUUGACCGCUUAUCCGGGAAUGCUUAUCUUCAGAAGGGAUUUGAGAUGGUGCCCUACAUUUAGUAAGUUAAAGACUUUGUUGCUGAAUGAGUGGUGUGUGCAACCUGACCUCCGUGCACUAGUUUGUAUGCUUGAACAUUCACUGGUUCUCGAGAAUCUGACGCUCCAAUUGUGUGAGCAAGGAAAACCUACAGGUGCAGUGGAAGCGGAAGAAAACCAUAGUUUGAUGGAGAAACCAGCUGCUAUUUCAGGAUACCUGAAGAUUAUGAAAGUCAAAUGUGAAGAUAUUGAUGGUAGAGUUUGCAAAGUUUUGAAGUUCUUGAUUAUACUUGGCAUGGACAUUAUUAUCCAAAGGAUUGACGGAUAG
rnacentral:rRNA from 1 species